rnacentral:lncRNA from 1 species
GUGAGUGCAGAGCAAAUUUAGCAUGGCAUCCUCGCCGUUUUCUCUUGCAAAAUGGGCACCCCAAGCCCACUAUUUAUAGACGAUUUAGCUACAGGUGUACUUGCGGCAGAGCCGCAGGUGUACCAGAGGCAACCCGGGUAGGCCCGGGUUUCUCGGGUCGGGUUGUCUCGUAGUACGUGCACUUGGGCAUUGUAAUGUCCACUCGAACUUUAAG